CCGCCAGAAAGCCGAGCGCCCAAGUCUUCCCGGCAGACCCCCCAUCGCGCAUCCCCUCCCAGCCAGUGCUACUGCGUGUUGGAGCCGAGAGCCCAGGCCUCCAGCGAUCUGGCCUCCUGCUAGAGCCCUACACCUCGCCUUCUGUCAAGGCCCUGGGAAAUCACGAGCACAAGGGCCCUGCACGUAACAUCUUGUCUCACUCGUUCCCGGCCAUCGAUCACCGCUGCCGUCUCCGAGCAGACCAUGGGCGUCUCUUCCUGACCAGAUUCCAGGCACUACGAUGCAUUGGACAGCGAGCUUCUGUCCGCCAGCCACAGAGGAGCCCGAGUUUUGCAGAUUGACCCCUGAA